rnacentral:tRNA from 1 species
UCCCUGGUGGCUUAGAUGGUAAAGAAUCUGCCUUCAAUGCAGGAGACCCAGGUUCAGGCCCUGGGUUGGGAA